UACGUAGGGGGCUAGCGUUGUCCGGAAUCAUUGGGCGUAAAGAGCGUGUAGGCGGCCCGGUAAGUCCGCUGUGAAAGUCGGGGGCUCAACCCUCGAAUGCCGGUGGAUACUGUCGGGCUAGAGUCCGGAAGAGGCGAGUGGAAUUCCUGGUGUAGCGGUGAAAUGCGCAGAUAUCAGGAGGAACACCGAUAGCGAAGGCAGCUCGCUGGGACGGUACUGACGCUGAGACGCGAAAGCGUGGGGAGCAAACAGG
rnacentral:rRNA from 1 species